AUGAACGCUGGCGGCGUGCCUAAUACAUGCAAGUCGAGCGAACGGACGAGAAGCUUGCUUCUCUGAUGUUAGCGGCGGACGGGUGAGUAACACGUGGAUAACCUACCUAUAAGACUGGGAUAACUUCGGGAAACCGGAGCUAAUACCGGAUAAUAUUUUGAACCGCAUGGUUCAAAAGUGAAAGACGGUCUUGCUGUCACUUAUAGAUGGAUCCGCGCUGCAUUAGCUAGUUGGUAAGGUAACGGCUUACCAAGGCAACGAUGCAUAGCCGACCUGAGAGGGUGAUCGGCCACACGGAAACUGAGACACGGUCCAGACUCCUACGGGAGGCAGCAGUAGGGAAUCUUCCGCAAUGGGCGAAAGCCUGACGGAGCAACGCCGCGUGAGUGAUGAAGGUCUUCGGAUCGUAAAACUCUGUUAUUAGGGAAGAACAUAUGUGUAAGUAACUGUGCACAUCUUGACGGUACCUAAUCAGAAAGUCACGGCUAACUACGUG
rnacentral:rRNA from 1 species